GUGACUCUCUCCGACUCAGGGCGCCCGGCUCAUGCUCCCCCCAAGCCGCCCCCUCCGACCUUUGCCACCAGCGUCCUCAAGGUUUGCAGGAGAAGCAUUUGGGACAUAACAAUAACCCACAUAGAAUAAUAACUGAUGAUCGCAGAGCACUCAGCGCAGCGUCUGGCACGUGAUCCGCGCCGUAAAACGUUGGCUGUUAUUAGUUAUAUUUAAAAAGCGCCUUAGGUUGUGCAUCCUGCUAUUUACCAGCACCAAAGCUCAUUUUGUUCGAGCCGUCUAAAAACCCCGAAGAGGAAAUGGAGGCAAACAGGGUUAAGUGACUCGUCCAGGUGCACACAGCCAGGAAGUGACCAUCUCGCUCCGGAGCUGGUGGGAGCCAUCUGGCUUAUACUUUUCAUGUUACAGAUGAGUAAAUCAAGGCCUGCGGGCUUCGGUGAGGGAUUUGAGCUGAAACCCCUGAAGUUCAGGCAGAACAAGGGGUCCUUUUUAUUUUUGUGUUUUGCAUUUUUUUUGUUUGUUUUUUUUGGGGGGGGAAUUGGAGUUCUUUUUUUUUUUUAAAUGUUAUUUGUUUUGUUUUCUUUGUAGUAUUUUUUAUAGAAUUUUUACAAUAUUUUAUUUUUCCAAAUACGCAAAAAGAUCGUUUUCCUUUUCUAAACCUUUGUAAAACUUGGCGUUCCGAAGGUUCCCCCUGCCCAAGACGGCAAGCAGGCUGAUACAGCUUAGACACGUGCCCUUCUUCUAAACACGGUUCCUAUUGGCCGUGCCUGAAAACUCAGAUCGACGGGGAAAGAACACGAGAAAGAGAAAGCCUAGAAAACGACAGAAAGUGCCUGCUCUGGUCCCAUUCAGUCUCCCUUGGUCUCUCUCUGAACGCGGACGGCUCCUCCAUCCAAGUCUGGAAGUGCCCAUUGCACAGAGGAGCCCCGCCCACCAGAAAUGAGCAUCGUAGAGCGAGAUUAUGCUUUUGCUAGUUAUUAAGUGUUUUUAUUCAUUAUUAUUUAAAUUCCAUUUAUUAAUAUAGACUAUAUUUAGAUAUAUUUAUGUAAAUAAAUGUACACAUAAAUAUAUUUUUAGAUAUAUAUUUUAAUAUAUGUUAUAUAUAAAGUUACAUUUUAUUUAAAUAAACACAUUAUUUAAUGUAUUAA